AGCUCUCAAAGUGCAUAGAAUUAUUGCUGCGGUUAAAAAGCUCGUAGUUGGAUCUGUGCCAUCGGACAGGGUCCGCCUUCGGGCGCGCACUUUGCUCCGAGGCUUUUUGCUGGUUUUCCCGUCGUAGCCUUCACUGGUUGCGGCGGGUGGCUGGCGAGUUUACUUUGAGAAAAUCAGAGUGCUCAACACAGGCGUUUCGCUUGAAUGAUUGUGCAUGGAAUAAUAGAAAAGGAUUUCGGUCCUCUUUUAUUGGUUUUGUGGACUGAGAUAAUGGUUAACAGGGACAAACGGGGGCAUUCGUAUCGCUGCGUGAGAGGUGAAAUUCUUGGACCGUAGCGAGACGCCCUACUGCGAAAGCAUUUGCCAAGAAUGUCUUCA
rnacentral:rRNA from 1 species